rnacentral:misc_RNA from 1 species
GUAACAAGGUCUCCGUUGGUGAACCAGCGGAGGGAUCAUUACCGAGUUAUAACAACUCCAACCCUUUGUGAACCUUACCGUCGUUUCCUCGGCGCACUGCUGCGACCGCCCCGCAGGCGGCCCUCGCGGCCCCGCGGGCAGCUACCUACCCUGUACGGAUCUACCCUGCAGCAGCUGAAGGCGCAGCGGCGCCGAAAGGACCGCUACAAACUCUUUUAUCCAAGCUACGUCUGAACAAUUUACUAUGCAAAAUAGUUUAAAACUUUCAACAACGGAUCUCUUGGUUCUGGCAUCGAUGAAGAACGCAGCGAAAUGCGAUAAGUAAUGUGAAUUGCAGAAUUCAGUGAAUCAUCGAAUCUUUGAACGCACAUUGCGCCCAUUAGUAUUCUAGUGGGCAUGCCUAUUCGAGCGUCAUUUCGACCCUUAAGCCCUGUUGCUUAGCGUUGGGAGUCUGCGGCUUCGGCCGCAGUUCCUUAAAGUCAGUGGCGGAGCUGUGGCACACUCUAGGCGUAGUAGUUUUACCGCCUCGCCUCCAGAGUGGCCCCGGCUGCCUGCCGUAAAACCCCUAAUUUUCUAGUGGUUGACCUCGGAUUAGGUAGGAAUACCCGCUGAACUUAAGCAUAUCA